UACGUAGGGGGCAAGCGUUGUCCGGAAUCAUUGGGCGUAAAGCGCGUGUAGGCGGUUCGAUAAGUCUGCUGGGAAAGUCCAGGGCUCAACCCUGGGGUGCCGGUGGAUACUGUCGAACUAGAGUACGGAAGAGGCGAGUGGAAUUCCCGGUGUAGCGGUGAAAUGCGCAGAUAUCGGGAGGAACACCAAUUGCGAAGGCAGCUCGCUGGGACGUCACUGACGCUGAGACGCGAAAGCGUGGGGAGCGAACAGG
rnacentral:rRNA from 1 species